rnacentral:lncRNA from 1 species
UAAAAAGGCCAUGUGGCACAGUGGAAAGAAUACUGGAAUGAGAAUCCGAAGUCUUGGAUUUGAAUCCACUUCAGUUACCAAAGAGCCUGACAAGAAACUGUCAAAUGGGGCAUUUGGAAAUGACAGACAUCGAAUCAACAGGUUUGCUGCUGUUUUAGGAUUUGCCAAUUGUUAACAUAGUGGCGCAUCUGCUGUUUCAUAAAGGUCAUGCUGUCACAUAAUUCUUGUCUGCAGAGCUUCAUUCACUACAAGGUGAGUGCUUGAGAAAGAACAGCGUAGUAUGACGGUUUCAGACAGAUGCAUUUAUUUGCGUGCAUUUGAUGCAGAGUUGGGAAUGAAACUCGGAAAGCAUCAAUACCAUUCCUUUCAUUGUUCUUUUGUACUGCCCGGUUUCAAAAGCUAAACCUAUAAAAAUAGAAAAUGAGUGUAAUUAAGUGGUCUAAUUUAGAAUGAUGGACUUUUUAAGUCGACUAUUGAAUUUACUUUGAUGCAAAAAUUUCAAACUUUUAGAAUGUUAGCCAUCAUUCAUUCUGUG